AGCGGCGCGUGAAUCAGCGCGGUUGUCGGCGCUGUGCCCGGUAUCAGCUGUUCGACGCAUCAGCUGAUCGCUCGAUGCUAUCGUUUAAUCAUCCCGCGUGGGUGACGGAUCGCGGUACCGGUUUCCCCUCAGUGCGGGGCACCCGGACGAGACGACGCGUGCGACCACUCAGUGCGCGGUCGAGAGCUUAGGUGCGGGACGUGUUGGUGAGUUGCCGCUCGGUACGCGGUCAAGAAGGCACUCACUGCGCGCCGGGAAGGAUUGCGUUUCGAGGUUAUGGCGCUCACUGUGCGCACUAGAAAGCCUGGCUCACUGCAUCAGGAGGUACGGUCUGCUCAGUGCGCGGACCGGGGAAGCUCUGAUAACUUAUCGUAUCGCGAGUGGAGGGCUUAUAUACCCUCCACUCGGUGGUGAGGGAGGCAGAGACAAGCGGAGGGGACCGCACGAGAUAGGGGUUAACGGCACCGUUUGCUGUCAUUCCGGUGACGGCGGGGAACGGCUCGUUACAAUAUAAUAACCAUUUAUUUAACGUUUAAACAAAUUUUUUAAAAAUAUUUACUGAACAUUUGCUUAAUGUUUUAAGAGCAAAAAAUUGUUUGUAUUAUUCAAUCAUUUUGAUAAAUUCAACGUAACCUCAUCAGUGCAGCAUCGCUUAAUUUCUACGGUAACUUAGGGAAGAAGACCAGACAUGUUUCAGCCAACCUACAGUAGUACCUGUUAGAACAUGUUUAAUUUAUACGCCCGAAAAAACGGUCACCCAUCCAACUGUUAGCCACCGUCAACGUUGCUUGACUUCGAAGAUCCUAGUCUAGUGGUCCGGCCGCUCAAGCGCGAUCCAAGCGCGCAUCUACGCCUAGCAACCUGUAGCGUUGCUAACGUCCUUGCGUUGAUAACAUUUCGCAUGCCUCGCGUGCUCUGUACUCGAGUGCUUAUAAAUAACAUCUUUGUUAUAAAUAAUAAAGUCUUUGUUCCCGUGUUCCUGGCUUAUCCUCGAGCCUUGCCGUCUAGUGAAUUGAAAAUCUCUCGUGUCCGCGCGCGACCGGCCGGUCCGGAAAGGACACACAAGGACGGGACGUUUCCGUUCGCGCGGCUUUACGCCUGUCCGUGCCUCGCCAUUCGCUUCUUGUCGCCGUCGUCUUCGUCGUUCGGCGUCUCGGAGGUACGCGCGACCGUCGCUCGCAGCGGGAAACGACCGCGUCCUUGCUUCUUGACCGCGAGACCUAACUUCCUUUAUGGUUGGUUGAAAAUAUUCGAUUAAUCUGUGACGGCUCGAGUUUUAUACACAAGAAAGGAAAAAUUAUUAAAAAAGUGCUCUCAUCGCACGACGCAGUGGCAGGAUACACAUAUACAUAUUAUAAUAC